CCAGUACCUUACAUCACCCAGACAAUUGGCAGCCAGGAGAUGGCAGCUGCCACUCUUCAGAUAUCUAUUUAAAGUUCAAAGAGACACUGGAUAACAGAGGUAAGCGUGGCCCUGACCAGCCCACCCGACAACACAAAGAAUGGCUGAAAAAGAGUCCACAUUCUCACAUCUUCUGGUCCCCAUUCUUCUCUUGAUUGGCUGGAUUGUGGGAUGCAUCGUAAUGGUAUAUGUUGUCUUCUCUUAGAAAGGCAGGAAGACUUCAGAUUGACAUCAUUUUGAAGAAUUAAGAAAAAUAUGAAAAUAACAAAUUAUUAAAUUUUCUCAUGUAAAUAACUGCACUGUUUGACAUCAGUUUAUAAACUUGGAUUUGUAAACUG